rnacentral:rRNA from 1 species
UACGAGGGGGGCAAGCGUUGUUCGGAAUUAUUGGGCGUAAAGGGUGCGUAGGCGGUCUGACAAGUCUGAUGUGAAAUCUAUGGGCUCAACCCAUAGUCUGCAUCGGAAACUGUCGGGCUUGAGUAUGAGAGAGGUGAGUGGAAUUUUCCGGUGUAGCGGUGAAAAUGCGUAGAUAUCGGAAAGGAACACCUGUGGCGAAAAGCGGCUCACUGGACCAUUCUGACGCUGAGGAGCGAAAAGCGUGGGGGAGCAAACA